rnacentral:sRNA from 1 species
GCCAGGCGUUGUAGCGGGCACCUGUGGUCCCAGCUACUUGGGAGGCAGAGGCAGGAGACUCGCUUGAGCCCAGGAGUUGGAGGUUGCUGUGAGCUGUGAUGCCAUGGCACUCUACCCAGGGGGACAGCUUGAGGCUCUGUCUCAAAAAAAAAGACAGGGUCUCACAUUGUCACCCUUGGUAGAGUGCCAUGAUGUCAUAGCUCACAGCAACCUCAAAAUCUUAGGCUCAAGGGAUCUUCUUGCUU